AUCGGUUUCGCUCCUAAGUGCAUGUUUAGUCGACGUGUAUAGUUCGAUUUUUGUAUAUCAUGCUUUAAUUCAUCGAUUAGCAUCUUGAAUGUAAUAUGAAUGUAGAAGCAUGCUGAAAUGAAUAUUUAUAUUAUACAUGUUGGACUUGAAAUUUGACUUAGGAGAAAACCUGCGUUUUGACCCGUCAUAUGCUUAAACUACCAGAUUUAGCUCUAGGAGUCGUGAUUCGAUUGUAUCGUUGCAGCAUCAGUGCGAUGGAUACCUGGAAUAGUUUAGAAGGCAUUUACGCUCGUGCUGGGAUGCCGAGCUUAUUUUUCAGCAGAGUUUAGGCUGUUUCAGGUUGUUGGGUGCCGUUCGGGUUAGCGGUGGACCCAGAUUCUUGUUUUGGUAACAGAUUGUGUCGAGGGCACGUGGGUUUGGUUUGUAGACCUGUUUUGACCCUGUUCACUUGACUUUGGCUAGUUUGAGCCUAAUUGAGCUCGACAGAGAUACGCUGCAUACUCGGUUUGGUAGCGCCCACGAGUGCCACUCCGGAGUCAGGCUUUGUGCUUUCGCGUUGGUGUCGCUCAUGCCAGUUGGACUUGCUCUCCACGGACCAGUUAGUGUGGAUAGAGCCCGAUAGUCGCAACCGGGCAGGAACGGGUGUAUUCACAGUCCCGGGGACGGGUAUGCUUACAGUCCCGAUUGGAUUGGGUCAGAGUGGAUAUUUUCUACAGUUGGUUAGUGUAGAGCAUGAUAGUGUAGUGUUUGAUAGCGGUAGACUUUAUUCCUGCAUUUACUACUAUUCUUGCUCCCUUCUGUAGACUUAGUGGGUGUACGAUGUUGUUUUGGGCGGUACCCACUGAGGACUACUUGUUUUUACAGUAGUUCUCACGCCCUGUUGUUACUUCAUUUUUUUUGCAGAGCUAUCGUCUUCGGCUGCUGCUAUUGCUGAUCAGGAUCGAGGCAAGGGCGUCGCGAGUUAGAGCUCUACCCGACGAGCCGAGCUAGGGGUGCCCUACUGCAGGUAGUAGUUUUGUUGGAGUUCAUGUACUUACCUACCUUUAACUCGCCAGUGCGAGUAGUUUUUAUGUAUCUUGGAUUUUGGGGUAUGUGUAUGGAACUCAGUUGGUUUUCUCCGUUUCUCCAAGCAGCUCUAUACUACUGUUUGUAGUAUUGUUUGAUUUACAGAUACAGCUAUCGCUUCGUAUACAGGGAAAAUUUCUUUGUAUACGGCUGAUUUGUCGGCACGCCCGGGGAAAGUGUAAUCCGGGGUGUGACAGAUUAAGUUGGUAUCAGAGCUUUGUUGUAGGUCGUUGGGACCUAGAAACCCUAAGUUUGGCAAACCUUAGGAAGGCAAGACGCAAGAUGCGUGAUUUAUCGCGAAAGUCAAUGAUUUGUUGUUCUAACUCCUCCUAUAGUGGAGUGAGUGAUUGGAGGAGUUCCUGUUUUGUCCUGAAAAAUUAUGUUUACUGCAGACGACAUAAUUUUAGGGAGAAAUAGGGGCCGCCUUCUAGACUUUCGUUUGAUUGGGUCGAGAGUGUUUUGUUGUAUCUGACCCCUGUUUUGCUCUUUACAGCUAUGUAUCGUUGCCGAGGCCGACCGUCGUUGCGGGAGCGUGCGCAGUUGGCGCAGGAUCGUGCUAGAUCUCCUGAGAUGCCUGAGCAGGCAGAGGCGAGUGCACCCCCAGUUGUAGAGCAGAGGGCCGGACCGGAGGCGAGUGCAUCCCCGGAUUUGAGUGCACAGUUAGCCGCUCUGACAGAGGUGACGAGACGGCAGGGGGAGUUAUUGGAGAGGAUGUGCGAGAGGUUGGUUGCGCCCCAGAGUUCUGUAUCGAGAGUACCAGAGUCGCCAGUUCCACCCCCGACUACUCCAGUGAAAGCACCAGCUGCAGCAAUUCCUCCAUCGGCAUCAGUUCCAGUAGCGCCAGUUGCGCCUGCUAGGGGGUCAGUACCGUUGACUGAGGCCGAACAGGAGCGGUGGUCGGAGAGGUUAGCUCGUUUUCGCCGAUUUGACCCACCGAUCUUCGAUGGCAGAGGCAUUGAGGCCUGGAUUGUUGAGGGAUGGGUAAAUGCGAUAGAGAAGUUAUUCGAGGAUCUGUUCGUUCCAGAGUGGAAGCAGGUACCUUUGGGAGUACACUGUCUGUCAGGUGAUGCACAUGAUUGAUGGCGGAGAGCGAGGCGAGACUAGGGACUGGUGGCGACGCAGUUGAGGUGGGAUGAGUUCUGUGGAAUGCUGUAUGGGAUGUAUUUCCCCAACAGCAUGAAACAAAAGAUCGAGGAGGAUUUGAAGAAGAUCCAGCAGGAUAAGCGGACAGUUCAGGAGUAUGUUCGGGAGUUUACUAGGCUCCUGAACUUUGUUCCGUUCGUGGCCAAAGACGAGGCACAUAGGGUCUACUUGUUUGAGCAGGGAUUGAGACCCGAUCUUUUCAAGUUCGUUAGGGCGUAGAGGUCGAGGACUCUGGAUGCGUCCAUUGAGCAGGCAUUAUGGGAGGAGAGAGGAGAGGUGUCGCUCAGAGAGAGGGCUCAGGGGCCGGGACCGAGCCAGGAUAGGAAGCGCCCAGCUCCAGACGACGGAGGCCAGUCGAGUAGCAGACGUCCGCCAAGGCCUCCACGAUCGCGUUCUCAAGGUCGUGGGUUCUCGGGACGCCAGCGAUCCAGGGACUCUCGUCAGAGGGGACAGCCAGAGAGGACGCCGCAGUGUGUGAUCUGCGGAGGACCACACUGGCCCAGACAGUGCGAGCAGAGGGAGGGCCAGUGCUACGGGUGUGGUCAGCCGGGACACAUGAGGGCAGCUUGUCCUCGAGCAGCAUCUCCAGCACCAUCAUAAGCUUCAGCUCCACCGGCACCUCAGCAGUCAUUCAGAGCAGCACCGAGUUACCGCCAGGAGGAUAGAUCAUCCAUGCCGCGACAGGGUGAGCAGCGACAACAGGCUCCGAGUGGCAGAGUCUAUGCAGCACAGGUGGAGGACUCUACAGCAGCCGACCGAGUGGUGGCAGGUAUCACUUUGAUUUCAGGUAUUCGUACUCGCACUCUUUUUGAUACCGAUGCCACGCAUUCUUUUGUUAGCCGAACAUUUGCAUUAUUGUAUGGUCUAGAGUUAGGGUCCUUGUCACAGGCACGAGAGGUGCAGAUCCCCGACCAUGUCUUGCAGGUUACAGAGUGUUGUUGGUCCUGUUCGGUGCAGUUAGACUCUUGGAUCAUGCCCGCAGACCUGUUAGUGUUAGGGCAGCUGCAGGACUUCGACGUAGUGCUCGGUAUGGAUUGGCUGGCGUGGUGCUAUGCUACUAUCGACUGUGGAGCGAGGAUUGUGACGUUCCGGAAGCCAGACCAGGAGGAGUUCACCUUCAGAGGCUGCAGGAGCACGUUGUUUGCCACCUGGAUAUCUUCGGCGAGGACUCGACAGCUGAUGAGUAGAGGAUGUGUUGCUUUUCUAACGACUGUGGCAGAGGUGCCUACGGCGGUGCCGGAACUCAAGGAUAUCCCUAUAGUCCACGAGUUUCCGGACGUGUUUCCCCCGGAGUUGACGACGAUGCGCCGGAGAGGGAGAUAGAGUUUGUGAUUGAUGUAGUUCCUGAAACUGCACCAAUCUCAAAGGCGCCUUACAGGAUGGCACCGGCAGAGCUGAGAGAGCUAAAGGCGCAACUUCAGGAUCUGAUGGAUAGAGGGUUUGUGAGACCCAGUGUGUCGCCUUGGGGAGCGCCGGUGUUAUUUGUAAAGAAGAAAGAUGGUUCGCUCAGGUUAUGUGUUGAUUACCGGGAGCUGAAUAAAGUGACCAUCAAGAACAAGUAUCCUCUGCCGCGCAUUGAUGAUCUAUUCGAUCAGCUGCAAGGAUCUUGUGUCUUUUCGAAGAUUGAUCUCCAGUCAGGUUACCACCAGCUAGGGUGAGGGCCGAGGAUGUUCCCAAGACGACUUUUCGGACUCGGUACGGGCAUUAUGAGUUUACGGUGAUGCCGUUUGGAUUGACGAAUGCCCCUGCCGCAUUCAUGGAUUUGAUGAACAGAGUGUUCAAGCCGUUCUUGGAUAGGUUUGUGGUAGUCUUCAUCGACGAUAUCCUGAUUUACUCCCGGAGUGAUGCUGAGCAUGAGGAGCACUUGAGGAUUGUGCUACAGCUUCUGCGCGAGAAGAAGUUGUAUGCCAAGUUAAAGAAGUGCGAGUUCUGGCUACGGGAGGUUGCUUUCUUGGGCCACGUGAUUUCAGCUGAGGGCGUAGCAGUGGACCCGAAGAAGAUUGAGGCGAUUCGAGAUUGGCCUAGACCGACGACGGUUACUGAGGUACGGAGCUUCCUGGGACUGGCAGGAUAUUACCGUCGGUUUGUGGAAGGCUUUGCGAAGCUUUCCACACCCCUCACACGCUUGACGCGGAAGGGGAUUCGUUUUGUCUGGAGCGACGACUGUCAGAGGAGCUUUGACGAGUUGAGAUUGAGGUUGAUGUCGGCUCCUAUCCUUGCCCUUCCUGUUAUGGGCGAAGGAUUUGUGAUCUACAGUGAUGCAUCGCACAGUGGACUUGGUUGCGUGCUGAUGCAGCAUGGUAGGGUGAUUGCUUAUGCUUCACGGCAGUUAAAGGAUUAUGAGAAGAAUUACCCUACGCAUGACUUGGAGCUUGCCGCGGUGGUUUUUGCUUUGAAGCUCUGGCGGCAUUACUUGUACGGCGAGCACUGCGAGGUUUUUACCGAUCAUAAAAGUCUCAAGUAUCUAUUCACCUAGAGGAAAUUGAAUGUAAGGCAGCGCCGGUGGUUGGAGUUACUGAAGGACUAUGACAUUAGUAUUCAGUAUCAUCCCGGCAGGGCGAAUGUGGUGGCAGAUGCGUUGAGCAGGAAGUCAGUGCAGAGCCUGAGUUUGAGGAUUACUGAGCAGAGACCCCUACUCGAGGAGCUACAGCGGCUGGGACUCGAGAUAGUACCCCCUGGGUCUACGGCGAGGCUGACGUCUCUAGUUUUACAGCCCACUCUGUUGGAUAGGAUCCGAGAGAAACAGAGUGGAGAUCCGUACUUGUUGAGGAUUAGAGAGCAGCUAGACAGGGGGCAGGCUGAGGGUUUUGCUUUGGACAGUUCGGGAGUACUACGGUACAGGGACCGACUGUGUGUGCCUGUGGAUCCGGAGAUUCGAGCGGAUAUUCUGAGAGAGGCUCAUUGUUCCCCUUAUACGGUUCACCCUGGGGGAACCAAGAUGUAUAAGGAUCUUAAGGCACGGUUCUGGUGGCCUGGAAUGAAGAGGGACAUUGGCAGAUUUGUGGCUCAGUGUUUGACUUGCCAACAGGUGAAGGCCGAGCAUCAGGUGCCUGCUGGCAAGCUUCAGAGUCUGCCAGUUCCCGAGUGGAAGUGGGAGCACAUCACGAUGGACUUCGUCGUUGGAUUGCCUAGAGCGCAGGGUGGCUACGACGCGAUUUGGGUGAUAGUGGACAGACUGACCAAGUCUGCUCACUUCCUACCGGUUCAGACUACCUGGUCCAGGGAGAGACUCGCGCAGCUAUACUUGGAUGAGAUCGUUAGGCUGCACGGCGUGCUAGUGUCGAUUGUAUCAGAUAGAGACCCGAGGUUCGUAUCCCAGUUUUGGAGGAGCCUUCAGACAGCCUUGGGUACACAGCUACAUUUCAGCACAACAUUCCACCCACAGACAGAUGGUCAGUCAGAGCGGACCAUUCAGACUCUAGAGGACAUGCUGAGGGCAUGUGUCCUGGACUUUGGAGGAGGGUGGUAUCGACAUUUGAGACUGGUUGAGUUUGCGUACAACAACAGCUAUCAAGCGAGCAUCCAGAUGGCUCCGUUUGAGGCGUUGUAUGGACGCAGAUGUCGAUCCUCUCUGUUUUGGAGUGAUGUGGGUGAGAGGAGGACGUUUGGGCCUAAGAUUCUGAUCGAGGCUGAGGAAAAGGUAAAAGCGCGACGGCACAUAUUAGCAGCCCAGAGUCGACAGAGGAGCUAUGCUGAUACCCGGAGACGAGACUUGGAGUUCCAGGUGGGAGAUCAUAUUUUUCUUAAAGUCUCGCCGUCCAGAGGGAUUCGCCAAUUUGGAGUACGUGGAAAGCUCAGUCCACGUUUUGUAGGCCCUUUCGAGGUAUUGGAGCGAGUCGGGCCAGUUGCUUACAGGAUUGCUCUACCACCACGGCUAGCCGGCAUUCACGAUAUUUUUCACGUCUUGGCUUUGAGGAAAUAUGUGUUUGACCCCUCCCACGUGAUUGACUUCACUCCGCUUGAUUGACUUCACUCCUCUUGAGAUUAGCGAGAACCUGAGUUACGAGGAGCAACCGGUGCGGAUUCUGGCUCGUGAGUCGAGGGAAUUGUGCAACCGGAUCAUACCCUUUGUAAAAGUGCAGUGGAGUAAUCACGAGAAGCGGGAAGCGACUUGGGAGUCGGAGACGGUAAUGAAGGAGUCAUACCCCUACCUGUUUGAGGCCCUGGAUUGAGGUAUGUUUUCAGUUUCGCGGACGAAACUUUUUGUAGUGGGGGAGGAUGUAGUGUUCCUAAGCUUUGGAUAGGAUUGGCUUCAGUAUUAGUGACUGGUCGACAUCUCUGGAGAGUGUCGGACUGAGUCGGAGUCAAUUCCGCACAAAUUGGAUGCAGAAUUGGACUCGACGCACUCAAUUAAGCAAAACUAGAGUUUUGCCAGUUUCGAGCGCCCAGAACAUUUUUAGGGUCGCCCAGAAACGAGUGUUGAAUUUAACUGAAACUGGAAGCCAAUUCGGAUCCCAUGUUACGGGCGCCCAGAUGUGGAUCCGAAAAUUCGACAUCGUGAAUAUCGCUUGCUUCGACGUGUGGCAGGCGGUAGGUGAGUUCCGCCGGAGCCAUUUACGGGCGCAGCACACCUCGAGCGGAGAGUCCGAGGAGCCCGUUUUGUGCAGGCUGGAUGUUCUGGUCGCCCAGAACAUGGUUCCGGGCGCCCAGAAACACUCGUUUCUGCAGGGACACUGGAUAGCAGCUUGAGUUCCUGAGGCUUUUUGGAUCAUUCUAACUCACUAUAAAUAGAUGGAAUGCGCCCCUUUGCUGCUCUUUUCCUCCCUUCUUCACAGAGAAGUCCCUUUUAGCAUCUCAACACUCGGAUUUGCCUCAAUUUGCAUCAAACUUCCAUUGAUCCAACUUGAUGGAGUGCUGAUUCUGCAGUUCUUCAGCGACGACCUCCAAUGUUUUGGCUCGUGCGCGACGUAGGAAGGUCGGAUUUCGACGAAACUUGGUUUGCUGGAUUCUAGACUUCUAGAGGAAUCCACGAAGUCCUGAACUGCAGAUUUUGGUUGAGGUUAGCUUGGUCAAACUGAAGUUUUUCUAGACUGCUGUUGACUUUGAGCUGAAAAUGGGAUUUUUGAACUUUUCUUGAUGCUAUCUUUGUUGGCAAUAGGAUUUUGGACCUGAGUUUGAUCACCUCUCAGUAUUUGCUGGUUUUGGAACUGUUCUCACCUGAUUUGGAGAUCAUUAGGUGAGUUUUGACAUUGGAAUUGAGAAAUCCUAAGCUUAAAGCUGAAAUUGAUGAAUUUUAUUGGAUUUUGGGUGAAUUGUUAUAUCCAGAUCUUGAGGGGCUUUGUUGCUGGUUUGGAGGUGUUUCCAGCAGUGUUGCUUGUGAUCCGAGACACUCUUGCUGCCAGGAUUUUCACUAGAGGUGGGUGUAUCAUCGGUUUCGCUCCUAAGUGCAUGUUUAGUCGACGUGUAUAGUUCGAUUUUUGUAUAUCAUGCUUUAAUUCAUCGAUUAGCAUCUUGAAUGUAAUAUGAAUGUAGAAGCAUGCUGAAAUGAAUAUUUAUAUUAUACAUGUUGGACUUGAAAUUUGACUUAGGAGAAAACCUGCGUUUUGACCCGUCAUAUGCUUAAACUACCAGAUUUAGCUCUAGGAGCCGUGAUUCGAUUGUAUCGUUGCAGCAUCAGUGCGAUGGAUACCUGGGGUAGUUUAGAAGGCAUUUACGCUCGUGCUGGGAUGCCGAGCUUAUUUUUCAGCAGAGUUUAGGCUGUUUCGGGUCGUUGGGUGCCGUUCGGGUUAGCGGUAGACCCAGAUUCUUGUUUUGGUCACAGAUUGUACCGAGGGCACGUGGGUUUGGUUUGUAGACCUGUUUUGACCCUGUUCACUUGACUUUGGCUAGUUGGAGCCUGAUUGAGCUCGACAGAGAUACGCUGCAUACUCGGUUGGGUAGUGCCCACGAGUGCCACUCCGGAGUCAGGCUUUGUGCUUUCGCGUUGGUGUCGCUCAUGCCAGUUGGACUUGCUCUCCACGGACCAGUUAGUGUGGAUAGAGCUCAAUAGUCGCAACGGGGCAGGGACGGGUGUAUUCACAGUCCCGGGGACGGGUAUGCUUACAGUCCCGAUUGGAUUGGGUCAGAUUGGACAUUUUCUACAGUUGGUUAGUGUAGAGCAUGA
rnacentral:lncRNA from 1 species